CUGUACAGUUCAGAGUUUGAUCCUGGCUCAGGACGAACGCUGGCGGCGUGCUUAACACAUGCAAGUCGAACGGAAAGGCCCUUUCGGGGGUGCUCGAGUGGCGAACGGGUGAGUAACACGUGGGUGAUCUGCCCUGCACUUUGGGAUAAGCCUGGGAAACUGGGUCUAAUACCGAAUACACCCUGCUGGUCGCAUGGCCUGGUGGGGGAAAGCGUUUGUAGCGGUGUGGGAUGAGCCCGCGGCCUAUCAGCUUGUUGGUGGGGUGAUGGCCUACCAAGGCGACGACGGGUAGCCGGCCUGAGAGGGUGACCGGCCACACUGGGACUGAGAUACGGCCCAG
rnacentral:rRNA from 1 species